UGGGGAAUAUUGCACAAUGGGGGAAACCCUGAUGCAGCGACGCCGCGUGAACGAAGAAGGUAUUCGUAUCGUAAAAUUCUGUCCUAUGGGAAGAUAAUGACAGUACCAUAGAAGAAAGCUCCGGCUAAAUACGUGCCAGCAGCCGCGGUAAUACGUAUGGAGCGAGCGUUGUCCGGAAUUAUUGGGCGUAAAGGGUACGCAGGCGGUUUAAUAAGUCGAAUGUUAAAGAUCGGGGCUCAACCCCGCAAAGCAUUGGAAACUGAUAAACUUGAGUAGUGGAGAGGAAAGUGGAAUUCCUAGUGUAGUGGUGAAAUACGUAGAUAUUAGGAGGAAUACCAGUAGCGAAGGCGACUUUCUGGACACAAACUGACGCUGAGGUACGAAAGCGUGGGGAGCAAACAGG
rnacentral:rRNA from 1 species